CCCUUAGAUGUUCUGGGCCGCACGCGCGUUACAAUGAAUCGUUCAACAGGUUUCUUCCUGAGUCGAAAGGCUUGUGUAAUCCUUUAAAUACGGUUCGUGCUAGGGAUAGAUUUUUGCAAUUAUUAAUCUUGAACGAGGAAUAUUUAGUAAACGCAGGUCAUCAGCCUGCAUUGAUUACGUCCCUGCCCUUUGUACACACCGCCCGUCGCACCAACCGAUUGGAUGUUUUGUUGAAAUAUGUGGAUGCUUGUUGGGUGAAUUCAUUUUUGCUUGAUAGACAGAAACGUAUUAAAACUGAAUAUCUAGAGGAUGGUGAAGUCGUAACA
rnacentral:rRNA from 1 species